AGUGAACGCUGGCGGUAGGCCUGACACAUGCAAGUCGAACGGCAGCACAGUAAGAGCUUGCUCUUACGGGUGGCGAGUGGCGGACGGGUGAGGAAUACAUCGGAAUCUACUUUUUCGUGGGGGAUAACGUAGGGAAACUUACGCUAAUACCGCAUACGACCUACGGGUGAAAGCAGGGGAUCUUCGGACCUUGCGCGAUUGAAUGAGCCGAUGUCGGAUUAGCUAGUUGGCGGGGUAAAGGCCCACCAAGGCGACGAUCCGUAGCUGGUCUGAGAGGAUGAUCAGCCAUACUGGAACUGAGACACGGUCCAGACUCCUACGGGAGGCAGCAGUGGGGAAUAUUGGACAAUGGGCGCAAGCCUGAUCCAGCCAUACCGCGUGGGUGAAGAAGGCCUUCGGGUUGUAAAGCCCUUUUGUUGGGAAAGAAAAGCAGCAGGUUAAUACCCCGCUGUUCUGACGGUACCCAAAGAAUAAGCACCGGCUAACUUCGUG
rnacentral:rRNA from 1 species